GUUGAAACACCGGUUUCCAUAUGAUCAUCAAAGUUAAGCAAUGCCAAUCCUGGUCAGUACCUAGAUGGAUGACAGCUUGGGAAUAUCAGCUGCUGCAAG